rnacentral:rRNA from 1 species
AUUGAACGCUAGCGGGAUGCUUUACACAUGCAAGUCGAACGAGUGGCGGACGGGUGAGUAAUAUAUCGGAACGUGCCCAGUAGCGGGGGAUAACUACUCGAAAGAGUGGCUAAUACCGCAUACCAUCGGAUGUGCCCAGAUGGGAUUAGCUAGUAGGGGGGGUAAAGGCUCACCUAGGCGACGAUCCCUAGCUGGUCUGGGAGGAUGACCAGCAACACUGGAACGAAGAAACGGUCCAGACUCCUACGGGAGGAAGCAGGGGGGAAGAUUGCACAAUGGGCGAAAGCCGGAUGCAGCCAUGCCGCGUGUAGGAAGAAGGCCUUCGGGUUGUAAAGUACUUUCAGCGGGGAGGCGUUACCCGCAGAAGAAGCACCGGCUAACUCCGUGCCAGCAGCCGCGGUAAUUC